rnacentral:rRNA from 1 species
GACGAACGCUGGCGGCGUGCUUAACACAUACAAGUCGAACGGAAAGGCCCUGCUUUUGUGGGGUGCUCGAGUGGCGAACGGGUGAGUAACACGUGAGUAACCUGCCCUUGACUUUGGGAUAACUUCAGGAAACUGGGGCUAAUACCGGAUAGGAGCUCCUGCUGCAUGGUGGGGGUUGGAAAGUUUCGGCGGUUGGGGAUGGACUCGCGGCUUAUCAGCUUGUUGGUGGGGUAGUGGCUUACCAAGGCUUUGACGGGUAGCCGGCCUGAGAGGGUGACCGGCCACAUUGGGACUGAGAUACGGCCCAGACUCCUACGGGAGGCAGCAGUGGGGCAUAUUGCACAAUGGGCGGAAGCCUGAUGCAGCAACGCCGCGUGCGGGAUGACGGCCUUCGGGUUGUAAACCGCUUUCGCCUGUGACGAAGCGUGAGUGACGGUAAUGGGUAAAGAAGCACCGGCUAACUACGUG